CCAGUACAGGAUGGACCCGCGUCUGAUUAGCUAGUUGGUAAGGUAACGGCUUACCAAGGCGACGAUCAGUAGCCGACCUGAGAGGGUGAUCGGCCACAUUGGAACUGAGACACGGUCCAAACUCCUACGGGAGGCAGCAGUGGGGAAUAUUGCACAAUGGGCGAAAGCCUGAUGCAGCAACGCCGCGUGAGUGAUGAAGGCCUUCGGGUCGUAAAACUCUGUCCUCAAGGAAGAUAAUGACGGUACUUGAGGAGGAAGCCCCGGCUAACUACGUGCCAGCAGCCGCGGUAAUACGUAGGGGGCUAGCGUUAUCCGGAUUUACUGGGCGUAAAGGGUGCGUAGGCGGUCUUUCAAGUCAGGAGUGAAAGGCUACGGCUCAACCGUAGUAAGCUCUUGAAACUGGGAGACUUGAGUGCAGGAGAGGAGAGUGGAAUUCCUAGUGUAGCGGUGAAAUGCGUAGAUAUUAGGAGGAACACCAGUUGCGAAGGCGGCUCUCUGGACUGUAACUGACGCUGAGGCACGAAAGCGUGGGGAGCAAACAGGAUUAGAUACCCUGGUAGUCCACGCUGUAAACGAUGAGUAC
rnacentral:rRNA from 1 species